AUUGAACGCUAGCGGGAUGCUUUACACAUGCAAGUCGAACGGCAGCGCGGACUUCGGUCUGGCGGCGAGUGGCGAACGGGUGAGUAAUGUAUCGGAACGUGCCCAGUAGCGGGGGAUAACUACGCGAAAGCGUAGCUAAUACCGCAUACGCCCUACGGGGGAAAGCAGGGGAUCGUAAGACCUUGCACUAUUGGAGCGGCCGAUAUCGGAUUAGCUAGUUGGUGAGGUAACAGCUCACCAAGGCGACGAUCCGUAGCUGGUUUGAGAGGACGACCAGCCACACUGGGACUGAGACACGGCCCAGACUCCUACGGGAGGCAGCAGUGGGGAAUUUUGGACAAUGGGGGCAACCCUGAUCCAGCCAUCCCGCGUGUGCGAUGAAGGCCUUCGGGUUGUAAAGCACUUUUGGCAGGAAAGAAACGUCGCGGGCUAAUACCCCGUGGAACUGACGGUACCUGCAGAAUAAGCACCGGCUAACUACGUG
rnacentral:rRNA from 1 species